AUUUCCAGAGACAACGCACAGAGCCACAGAAGUCACAGAUUCAGGCAAAAUGAAAGCAGUGGAUUAAAUGGAGUGAAAAGUAAUCUGGAAAAUGCUUCUGAAAAUCUGUCCUUCUACACAGUUUGCGCCUGUGGAGACCUCUCAGCCAACUGGCCCCCCUCAAAGCACUCUCAGCUUCUGUUGUCUACACACUGUUGCCUCUGGGCCACAGUAACACCAGCACAUGAAGACAAUUACUUGUUGGAGUGGAGAGACAGAGCCUU
rnacentral:lncRNA from 1 species